UGCGAUAGAUCAGACGGCCAAGAAAGCUUAGAAUUAUGAGAAACUCCUAGUGGUCUUUACACCAAAAAGUGUAGGCGUGUCCGUCUUUUAGAACUUUAGAAAGAUCCAUUUCUUCUCUGACAAGCAUUGCAGAGCAGAUCAGAGCAUUCCUAUAUAUUUGUAGAGAAAAAAACUAGAAGAAGGCCCAGGUAAGGAGAGACAGAAGCCAAGGAAGCCGGUCUAGCUACGAGGUGCAGAGUAGCAGGUGUCCAAUGCAGCUGCUGUCGGUGGCGACAAAGAUGGAGGAGGUGGUUGUGCCGCUGCUGCUGGACCUCCAGAUCCUAGACCUGUGCUUCAUGUUCGAGCCCUGCACCGUCUAGCAGAUAGAACUCCUACUCAUGGCCGCCUCUGCUGGCAAAUGCGCUAUGAUUGUGCUCUUUUAUGGUCACUGGGAUAGCAAGAAUCUUGUUCAGAACCACAGGAGCAGUGGAGGUGGAACAAGCAGGAUCCGGGAUUAAGGCACUGAAGGAAGGGGGGAGAGCAUGAUUGAGUAAUGGGAGAGGUUGUCGAUUGCUGAUUCCUCUACAACAUGUGAAGUUCUCUCUCCUCUCCUCUCUUUCUGUCUUAAUCCGAUAAAACAAACCGAACCGAACCAAAUUUUGCGGAUCUGGUUUGAAUCGAUUUUCGUAUUGUGUUGGUUAGGUGUUGUUUUCGGUUUUAGGUUUGGUUUUAAAAAUUCUCUGAAACCGAUUUGAUCCAAACCGUGCACACUCCUAAGUUCUACUCCAAAUUUUCUCUCUUACGGCCUCGCUCCUUUGAAAUUUAAUCUUUUACAAGCAACCAUAUGUUCUGCUCUUAAUUAAGUCUUCGGUCUAUUAUCCAAAAGAUAGAUAGA